rnacentral:rRNA from 1 species
UACAGAGGGGGCGAGCGUUGUUCGGAAUUACUGGGCGUAAAGGGCGCGUAGGCGGCCUUCUAAGUCGAACGUGAAAUCCCCGGGCUCAACCCGGGAACUGCGUCCGAUACUGGGAGGCUUGAAUCCGGGAGAGGGAUGUGGAAUUCCAGGUGAUAGCGGUGAAAUGACGUAGAUAUCUGGAGGAACACCGGUGGCGAAGGCGGCAUCCUGGACCGGUAUUGACGCUGAGGCGCGAAAAGCCAGGGGAGCAAAGCGGG